AGAUUGAACGCUGGCGGCAUGCCUUACACAUGCAAGUCGAACGGUAGAGUAGCAAUACUUGAGAGUGGCGAACGGGUGAGUAAUAUAUCGGAACGUGCCCAGUCGUGGGGGGAUAACGUAGAGAAAUUUACGCUAAUACCGCAUAAGAUCUACGGAUGAAAGCAGGGGAUCGCAAGACCCUUGCGCGAAUGGAGCGGCCGAUGGCAGAUUAGGUAGUUGGUGAGGUAAAGGCUCACCAAGCCUUCGAUCUGUAGCUGGUCUGAGAGGACGACCAGCCACACUGGGACUGAGACACGGGCCCAGACUCCGUACGGGAGGCAGCAGUGGGGAAUUUGGACAAUGGCGAAGCCUGAUCCAGCCAUCGCGCGUGCAGGAUGAACGGCCUUCGGUGUAAACGUGUCGUUUGAACGGUAACGUAAAGU
rnacentral:rRNA from 1 species